rnacentral:lncRNA from 1 species
GUAUGCAUGAUUGCAUGUCUUAAAUUGAAGAUCAUUGUGGAACACAUUGAAAGUAUGCAUAACAUAGGUGUUAUUUUCAAUCAAAUGAUCAUUUCAUUGAUUGAAUUCUUCCUUUUUAACAGAAACUUGGAUCUUGUCUCCCUAAAAAAAUAUGGUUAGUAACCGAAAUAGCCACAUAUAAAUGUUUUUUUAUGUAAUAUUACCUUCCAGUCCAUCAAUAUCAUUGCUAGAUGUCCGGGUUUAGGUGGAAGUUAAACAUACCAAAUUUCUGUAAUUCUAACAGCUACCUUCCACAGGUGCUUUGAGUCAUUCAAAUCCCUUACCAGCUCGAAC